GGGGCCGAUCCGGAUUCGACGUGGGUCGCGAAACAACUCAGGGCAUGCCGAGCACCAGUUCGCUCGUUAAACCACUGGAAACACUACAAACGCCAACGACGAGCGUUUCGCUCUCGCCGCUUAAGCGGUGAGCCGCUGCACUGAUCUGUCCUUGGGUCAGGUGGAGGAAGGCAACUUCCUAGGGGGGUAACCCUCGAACCACAGCAGCGACAUUCACAAGGAACCGGUCUGCGCUGGGGUCACACGGCUCAGAUUUAAAUUACGUGAAU
rnacentral:tmRNA from 1 species